AGCUUUGCACAGUGGCAGUAUCAUAGCCAGUGAGGUUCAUCUGAGGUGUGAUUAUUGCUAACUGAAAGCUCUUCACAGAUCAAAGAGGUUUCUGUCUAUCACCAGUUUGCUAAGACCUUUUUAUCAGGAAUGGAUGUUGGCUAGAAUGUAGUUCAAUAUGUGCAGGUGUAUUAUGUAUUACU
rnacentral:snRNA from 1 species